rnacentral:lncRNA from 1 species
GCAGGGCAGACAGCAGUGUCAAAACAUUACCAUACUGUGAUAGGAAGCUCACCUGUUUAUUUCUCCCUUUGAAAUUAUUAUCUAGUUUUGGAAUAGGCUGCAGUCAUCACACUCAAACUUUGGAUAUUGAACUUGUGAACAGAAUAUUAGCAAACAAGCUAAAGAAAUCAAUAAGCAGUCGACAAGUUCAGAAGCUGUUAUAUUGGACUACUUUAAGGAAAUCUCAUGAGGUGAUGGUGACAAAUCUUCACAUCUCCUUGGAGGAAAAGCAGAAAUGAAUUAAGUCACACUGGAAAUGAGAUGAGAUAUGUCCUCAUGUUUGCAUUAGAUGAAUCUCCAACUCACCAGUCUCAUUGCAAGGAGAGGAAGAUGGAAGGAAAAAGGAAAUUGAUGGUUGAAUCAACCCAUAUUAGUAAACUGCUGGGAGUCCCACUAAAUAAACUUCUAAUCAAGUAACCUGAGCCAAAACAUUAGCCAUCUGCUUACCUUUAUAUCAAAGGGAGCUUAGAUAUGUUCUUUCUCAGCUUGGUAUAUCACCCCUCCUAAAAGUAGGGUCAUGUCUUCAAGUCUAAAGAGGGGACUGGGCACUGAGAUUUCAGCUGCAGUGUUACAUUAGAAAAAUUUCCAGGAAAUAACUGGCAUUUACAGCAGCCCAG